AGGGCGGGAAGAAAGGAGGGCG
rnacentral:miRNA from 8 species